rnacentral:rRNA from 1 species
UGGGGAAUAUUGCACAAUGGGGGAAACCCUGAUGCAGCGACGCCGCGUGAAGGAAGAAGUAUCUCAGUAUGUAAACUUCUAUCAGCAGGGAAGAAAAUGACGGUACCUGACUAAGAAGCCCCGGCUAACUACGUGCCAGCAGCCGCGGUAAUACGUAGGGGGCAAGGUGUUCAUGUCCGGAUUUAGCUGGAUGAGUAAAGGGAGCGUAGACGGAGCAGCAAGUCUGAUGUGAAAGGCAGGGGCUCAACCCCUGGACUGCAUUGGAAACUGUUGAUCUUGAGUACCGGAGGGGUAAGCGGAAUUCCUAGUGUAGCGGUGAAAUGCGUAGAUAUUAGGAGGAACACCAGUGGCGAAGGCGGCUUACUGGACGGUAACUGACGUUGAGGCUCGAAAGCGUGGGGAGCAAACAGGAUUAGAUACC